rnacentral:rRNA from 1 species
GACGAACGCUGGCGGCGUGCCUAAUACAUGCAAGUAGAACGCACAGUUUAUACCGUAGCUUGCUACACCAUAGACUGUGAGUUGCGAACGGGUGAGUAACGCGUAGGUAACCUGCCUGGUAGCGGGGGAUAACUAUUGGAGACGAUAGCUAAUACCGCAUAAUAUUAAUUAUUGCAUGAUAAUUGAUUGAAAGAUGCAACUGCAUCACUACCAGAUGGACCUGCGUUGUAUUAGCUAGUAGGUGAGGUAACGGCUCACCUAGGCGACGAUACAUAGCCGACCUGAGAGGGUGAUCGGCCACACUGGGACUGAGACACGGCCCAGACUCCUACGGGAGGCAGCAGUAGGGAAUCUUCGGCAAUGGACGAAAGUCUGACCGAGCAACGCCGCGUGAGUGAAGAAGGUUUUCGGAUCGUAAAGCUCUGUUGUAAGAGAAGAACGGGUGUGAGAGUGGAAAGUUCACACUGUGACGGUAUCUUACCAGAAAGGGACGGCUAACUACGU